rnacentral:rRNA from 1 species
AGUGAACGCUGGCGGUAGGCCUGACACAUGCAAGUCGAACGGCAGCACAGUAAGAGCUUGCUCUUACGGGUGGCGAGUGGCGGACGGGUGAGGAAUACAUCGGAAUCUACUUUUUCGUGGGGGAUAACGUAGGGAAACUUACGCUAAUACCGCAUACGACCUACGGGUGAAAGCAGGGGAUCUUCGGACCUUGCGCGAUUGAAUGAGCCGAUGUCGGAUUAGCUAGUUGGCGGGGUAAAGGCCCACCAAGGCGACGAUCCGUAGCUGGUCUGAGAGGAUGAUCAGCCACACUGGAACUGAGACACGGUCCAGACUCCUACGGGAGGCAGCAGUGGGGAAUAUUGGACAAUGGGCGCAAGCCUGAUCCAGCCAUACCGCGUGGGUGAAGAAGGCCUUCGGGUUGUAAAGCCCUUUUGUUGGGAAAGAAAAGCAGCAGGUUAAUACCCCGCUGUUCUGACGGUACCCAAAGAAUAGCACCGGCUAACUUCGUA